CCUACGGGAUGCAGCAGUGAGGAAUAUUGGUCAAUGGGCGCGAGCCUGAACCAGCCAAGUCGCGUGAGGGAUGACGGUCCUACGGAUUGUAAACCUCUUUUGCCGGGGAGCAAGCGUGCGUUCGUGAACGCGCGUCGAGAGUACCCGGAGAAAAAGCAUCGGCUAACUCCGUGCCAGCAGCCGCGGUAAUACGGAGGAUGCGAGCGUUAUCCGGAAUCAUUGGGCGUAAAGAGGGAGCAGGCGGCCUGGAGGGUCUAUUGUUAAAAGGCAAUGGCUUAACCAUUGUAAGGCGAAGAAACCGGCAGGCUAGAGUUCUAAAGAGGAUCGUGGAAUUCCAUGUGUAGCGGUGAAAUGCGUAGAUAUAUGGAGGAACACCAGUGGCGAAGGCGACGAUCUGGGAAGAAACAGACGCUGAGUCCCGAAAGCGUGGGGAGCAAAUAGGAUUAGAUACCCUUGUAGUC
rnacentral:rRNA from 1 species